AGAUGCGAUCAUACCAGCUCUAACGCAACGGAUCCCAUCAAAACUCCGAAGUUAAGCGUGCUUGGGCGAGAGUAGUAGUAGGAUGAGUGACCUCCUGGGAAGUCCUUGUGUUGCGUCCC
rnacentral:rRNA from 1 species